rnacentral:rRNA from 1 species
UACGUAGGGCGCAAGCGUUGUCCGGAAUUAUUGGGCGUAAAGAGCUCGUAGGCGGCUCGGUAAGUCAGGUGUGAAACCUCCAGGCUCAACCUGGAGACGCCACCUGAUACUGCUGUGGCUAGAGUCCGGUAGGGGAGCGUGGAAUUCCUGGUGUAGCGGUGAAAUGCGCAGAUAUCAGGAGGAACACCAGCGGCGAAGGCGGUUGCCUGGAGCUUUGCUGACGCUGAGGCGCGAAAGCGUGGGGAGCGAUCCGG